GCCAGAGCCAUAUUUCCCUGCAGUUCUGGCCUGGUUUCCCACUGAAGUUAAGCAGGGUUGACCCUGGCCAGUACCUGGAUAGGAGACUUCCUGGAGAAAACUAAGGUUGAUGCUGGAA
rnacentral:rRNA from 1 species